rnacentral:rRNA from 1 species
CGUAGGCGGGAUGGCAAGUCGGUCGUGAAAUCCUUCGGCUCAACCGAAGAACGUCGGCCGAUACUGCCGUUCUUGAGGGAUGCAGAGGAGAUUGGAAUUCCCGGUGUAGCGGUGAAAUGUGUAGAGAUCGGGAGGAACACCGGUGGCGAAGGCGGGUCUCUGGGCAUCUCCUGACGCUGAGGCGCGAAAGCGUGGGAGCAAACG